rnacentral:rRNA from 1 species
CCUACGGGUGGCAGCAGUGAGGAAUAUUGGUCAAUGGACGAGAGUCUGAACCAGCCAAGUAGCGUGAAGGAUGACUGCCCUAUGGGUUGUAAACUUCUUUUAUAUGGGAAUAAAACGUUCCACGUGUGGGAUUUUGUAUGUACCAUAUGAAUAAGGAUCGGCUAACUCCGUGCCAGCAGCCGCGGUAAUACGGAGGAUCCGAGCGUUAUCCGGAUUUAUUGGGUUUAACGGGAGCGUAGGUGGAUUGUUAAGUCAGUUGUGAAAGUUUGCGGCUCAACCGUAAAAUUGCAGUUGAAACUGGCAGUCUUGAGUACAGUAGAGGUGGGCUGAAUUCGUGGUGUAGCGGUGAAAUGCUUAGAUAUCACGAAGAACUCCGAUUGCGAAGGCAGUUCACUGGACUGCAACUGACACUGAGGCUCGAAAGUGUGGGUAUCAAACAGGAUUAGAUACCCUUGUAGUC